GUUCUGGCAGAGACUGCUUUUUAUUGAAAUAUAACAUGACCACAGAUGAGUACACAAAAAUGCACAUUCGGCUGAAAUUUCACAAACUAAUCACAGUCCUGCCACCAACAACUAAUUUAAGAAACAGAACAUGGCGGGGCGUGGUGGUUCAUGCCUGUAAUCCCAGCACUUUGGGAGGCCGAGGCGGGUGGGUCACGAGGUCAGGAGAUCCAGACCAUCCUGGCU
rnacentral:lncRNA from 1 species